GGGUCGGUGGCGUAGCUGGUUAUCGCAUCUGUCUAACACUUUGCGCACAGAAGGUCCUCAGUUCGAACCUGGGCCGACUCA